rnacentral:rRNA from 1 species
AGCAGCCACCUUUAAAAAAGCGUUAAAGCUUCAUUACAUUUUAUAAAAAUUUCACUAAUUUUCUAAAACCCUUAACCUGUACUGAAUGAUCUUAUGACUUCAUAAGAACCUAUAUGUUAGAACUAGUAACAAGAAGAAGCCCUUCUCCAAAAUGUAAGCAUGAGCCAAAAUGAACUAUUCAUUGGCAUUUAAAGUUAAUAAUCUCUUAGUAGUAACUAUUCAAGAAAAACCUACUAUAUUUAACGUCAACCUUACACCAGCACAUUUCUGGAAAGAUCAAAAAACUAGGAAGGAACUCGGCAAACAAAUAACCCCGCCUGUUUACCAAAAACAUCGCCUCCUGAUUUUUAUAGGAGGUCUAGCCUGCCCAGUGACAAAGUUAAACGGCCGCGGUACCCUAACCGUGCAAAGGUAGCGCAAUCACUUGUUCUUUAAAUGAGGACUAGUAUGAACGGCAUCACGAGGGUUAUGCUGUCUCCCUACUUUAUUCAGUGAAACUGAUCUCCCCGUGAAGAGGCGGGGAUAAAAAUAUAAGACGAGAAGACCCCAUGGAGCUUUAAACUCAGUAUCAACUGCCAUAUUUAAAACCUAAUAUUCAAGCAAUUUAUGAUUACUAGUUUUCGGUUGGGGUGACCACGGAGUAAAACUUAACCUCCACGAUGAAAGGAAAUAAUAACCUAAAUUAAGAGCUACAGCUCUAAAUAUCAAUAAAUUGACUUAUUGAUCCAAUUAAUUGAUCAACGAACCAAGUUACCCUGGGGAUAACAGCGCAAUCCAUUUCAAGAGCUCUUAUCGACAAAUGGGUUUACGACCUCGAUGUUGGAUCAGGGUAUCCCAGUGGCGCAGCCGCUACU